rnacentral:rRNA from 1 species
GCAAGUAUCCGCGCGCCAGUGAAGUAAGCCCUAGGUACCCUGAUUUCAGGUCGAUAGGAGCGGGUAUCAGGCACACCAACAUGUAGCCCAAAACGCCUUGCAAUUGCCACGCCCCCACGGGUUCUCAGCAGUAGUUAAUAUUAAGCCAUGAGCGAAAACUUGACUUAGUCAUAGCAACUUAGGGUCGGUAAAUCCUGUGCCAGCCACCGCGGUCAUACAGGAGACCCAAAUUAACAUUAUAACGGCGUAAAGUGUGGUACCAUGCUAUCCAAGUAACUAAGAUUAAAAAGCAACUGAGCUGUCAUAAGCCCAAGAUGCUCAUAAGGCCACUACCCGAAGAAAAUCUUAGACAAACGAUUGAUUGAAACCCACGAAAGCCAGGGCCCAAACUGGGAUUAGAUACCCCACUAUGCCUGGCCCUAAAUCUUGAUGCUCGAUCUUACCGGAGCAUCCGCCCGAGAACUACGAGCACAAACGCUUAAAACUCUAAGGACUUGGCGGUGUCUCAAACCCACCUAGAGGAGCCUGUUCUAUAAUCGAUGAUCCACGAUAUACCUUACCAUUCCUUGCCAGUAUCAGCCUAUAUACCGCCGUCGCCAGCCCACCCAACCUGAAGGACCAACAGUGGACGCAAUAGCCCUAUACGCUAGUAAGACAGGUCAAGGUAUAGCCUAUGGAAUGGGAGCAAUGGGCUACAUUUUCUAAGAUAGAACAUUACGGCAAAGGGAUAUGAAACUGUCCCUGGAAGGAGGAUUUAGCAGUUAAGAGAGACAAUCGAGCCCUCUUUAAGCCGGCUCUGGGACACGUACAUACCGCCCGUCACCCUCCUCAAAAGCGA